ensembl:lncRNA
AUUGGAUGGAGCAGUUACAACUGUGCCAGAGCUGGCCACACUAUAUAACCUUUGCAUCAUCACCUCCAUCGCCCACCUGCCCCUCCACCACCACACACAGCCCCAGCCUCCUCUGGCUACACCUUGUUCUUGGUCACAUAGUUCUAGCACAUGGAAAUAAAUUGGAGGUAGCAGCAUACCUCUUCUUCCUAAGAUCAUCUCCAUCAUCUUGUGACCAAAGGAGAAAAUAACUCCCCAGCUGUCAGUGGCUUUCUCAGCUGCCAACACAAGAACCUGAGCAUACAGAGGAAUUAAGGACAGAGAGUCAACAUGCACAUUUCUGCUUAUACCACGUGGGCUUCUGCUGGUGGUCAUGGAGGAUGUUCACAAACCAACCGGGAGGAUAUUGAAGAGCCACUAGAGAAAUAGUUGUACCACCCUUGAGAACCACUGCCUCAGAGGACACUUUAACAAAUGCCAGGGGUGAGAGGAUUGGGAGGGAUUGCCUCCUCUGUCUUCUACUUCUACCAGGUCUCAAGGCAAAGAGAGCUCAUUUCUGCUACCUGUCUCGGGGAGGAAAGCAGAGUCUAAGUGGAGUGGAUUGUUAAAUGGAGUGGGUUGUUCCUGGGUUAUUUGCCUUGGUACACAACAGUUUUUGAGCCAAUCUUUGACCUGCACACGUUAAUGUUUAUUGAGUGCCUACUACAGCCCAGAUACCAUGCUUUACACACAGCAAUUUUCCUUUUAAAAUAUUUAUUUGUAUUUAUUUAUUUGGCUAUGCUGGGUC